rnacentral:lncRNA from 1 species
CUUGGUGACUAUGAAUUAAACUAUUAUAAAUAUUAACAUAGAUGUUUUUAUGUGACUAUUAGUUUUAAUUUGCUUGAGUAAAUACCUAGGAGUGUUAGGUUGUGUGAUAAGUGUAUAUUUAACCUUAUAAGAAACUGUCCGUUUUCCAAAGUGACUGCAUGGUUUUGCAUUUUGACAAGUAAUGUAUAAGAGUUCUAGUUGAGUUGCUUUACAUCCUUGCUAACACUUAAUUUGGUCAGUUUUUAAUUGUUAGACAUUCUUACAGGUAUAUAGUGGAAUCUCACUGUUGCAGCAAGAGCACUGGUCU